rnacentral:lncRNA from 1 species
UAAAGCCUCUUCCAGUCAUCCAGUACCAUCUUACUUGGAGGCAGCAAAUCAAGAGGAUUCUUUGGUUUGGGCUUUGGUGCCUCCUCCUCCUCAGCUGCCUCUGCCUUUGCUGCCUGUUUCUCAACCUCCUUUUUGGCUUCUUUCUUUGGUUCAGCCUUUGGUUUAGUUUCUUUUGGCUGGGCAGCAGGCUUCUUUGAAGGAACAGGUGGUAGAGAGACUGCCUGCUUCACUUCACCAAGAAUCUUCUUGAUUUUUGGCUGAUUAACCAAGGUCCAAAAGUACCUCUCAACAUGAGGGAACUCCGAGGUAAAACUCUUAGUCAUGAUCUGGGAGAAACCCAAGUAGAGGUUACAUGUCAUGAUAAUGUCAGCAAGGGUGACAAAAUGUCCAACAAGAAAUGUGUUGGAAGCAAGAUGAGUGUUCAAAGCGCCAAGGGCUCUCUUCAAUGCAGCAAUAGCAGCUUCCUCAGCCUACAUGCAAAAUACAUAUAAGAGAUUAAAAUGAAAUAGGUAGGCAAAAUCAUACCAUUGAAUUAAAAUGAACUACUACUGAAUUACAAAAAUAAAAUUUAACUCUUAAUAUAGAUUAAUAAAUACAUCAGAAUGGGGGAGAAAACAACCUAGUCUCUUAAAAAAAUAAUGAGGAGAAAACCCAUGCCUACUUGAUUAUCAAUGCAAUGGGCAUUCCCUUCAACCAAAAUUACUUAAUAGUGCUUGAGUUGAUUCCUUUCCAGAAACUAUGCAGGGGAAAACACUACCACAUUAAGCAUGUACUAAAUGUUGUCUAACUAAUCCUCUCUAAAAUAAAUAAAACAAGAAUCAUAGACAGGUAAUCAAUGCCAAUUUUCCCUUCACCAUUCCCUCCUUAAUAUUUUGUAUUUCAAUGACUAAGUUGCCUUAUUCCAAUUUUAACAUAGGACCUAUUGUCUUAUAAUUAGAAAGAAACAAAGACUAAGUAUGGCCCCAGCAAAUCAAGCCCAAUUAAAAUGACAAAAGAAUCUGCGAGGAAAGACAGUAGAACUUACUGGAGGAAGGUAAACACCGUAACCAAGUCUUGGAUACAACCAUUUUGCAAUAUUAGCAUCAAUUUCCAUGGCUGCAAAAUCAAUCCAUUGCUCGAUAUGACCCUAAGAAAGCCAAAGUAAUACAUACAAACAAUUACUUCCAUGGUUUAAAAUAAACUUAACUGAUGACAGAAGAAUACAAGACCAUUGUACUAUAAGAAUCUUACAUAAUCAAUCAAUGUAGAACCACAUAUAGGGUUGUUAACCUUUGAGCGAGCAACUGCAGAGAAAAGUAUACCAAUAAGUAAAAACAAACAUUAGAGGAAGAAAAUUUAGGAUAUGGAGUCAGCAGAUCUUCUCACCAUAACGAGCAAUGGCAUUGCUCUCAAAUACAGGACCCUCAGGUGUUUCCAACACAGGAACCUAGAAGAGUUAUAAAUAUCUUCAGUGAACAGACCUAGAAAAAAGGUUACAUAACAUGUAUAAAAAAAAUUCUCUAGUUUAAAUCUAUUAAUAGGCGUUACAAGGUCACCUUCCCCAAAGGGUUCAUCUUGAUGAACUCAGGAGUCUUAUUUGACACACCCAUCUCAAAAUUUUCAACCAUUUUGACCUGCACACCACUAUAUUCUGCAGCAAUGAGUGCCUUAAAGGCAUUUUUGUUUGUUUUUCCUGCAUGCAAGACCUGCAUGUAAAUCAACACACCACAUUGAUUAGAAGAACCGGUUGAUUAAGAAGUUGAAUUGAAUGUCAAACACCAGUCAAUCCCUACAACGAAUCCAGUAAAAUCCUGAAAUUGAUCCUUUUCGCCCCAUAAAUUCUCUUAAAGACCAUUCACUUUACAUUCUAAACUACUAACCGGUACUUAGCAUUUCCAUCUACCAUACACAAUUAACCUAAUUGACGUAACAUCUCGCCAUCCAUCUUUCUUCUGGUCAAUGGUUCCCAGUUGAAAUCGAAGGUGGUAGAGUUAAAAUCAAAAUCAAUUUUUUUAUCGUUAUGAUUAGUAUCUACAAAUCCAUAAACUAUUCCAUUGAUAGUAAUUAUAUAAAACAUAUUCAAUGUGCCACUUCUUUCGCAAUGUAAAAAAGCUAGUUACAAUUUUCACUUUCUAAUUCUACUCGAAAUAACUUCCACUUAAUCAUUAGGUGUCAAUUCUUUCAACAGUUAAACUACCAAAAGAAAUGAAACUAAUAUAUAUGCACAGAUAUAAAGCUUACCAGAGCCAUGGCUUGAUAGAAAAGAGCGCUACGAUUUGAGAACUGAGAUCUGGAAAAAAAAAAACAGAGAACAAAAUAAAAGGAAUAAGGAAAAAUAUUCAAGCAGGAGAACUUGAUUCCCAUGUAUUAAGGAGUAAAAAUGAGAGAAAGGAUUAAGAAAGAACCUUGAAGACGAAAUCGCAGCGAGAAGGAGCGGGAGAGACUGCGGGACAAAGAGAGAAUAAAAGAAAGGGGGACUAGGGUUUUUGUAGAGUAGAGCGAGUGUGAUGUGGGGUUAUCAGUUCGGGUUCCGGUUUAGAUCCAGAUUUACUAACCCCUUUCUUUUUCCGGUUUUUUUAAGCGUGUCUUUGAGGUAAUAAGUCAUUUCAAGAAUAAUUAAAUAAAAAUAAAUUAUAUAAAAAAUUCUCAUAACCAUUGAACCAUUGUUUUUCUCCAAUUUUCCUUUUCACAACAGUUUUGCUUUUUAUGUAAUUACACACAACUAAUUGAUCUGAAUCGAUUGGAUCACUAAUUUUUAAUUUAAUUGUUUAGAUCACUCUGAACAACACUACUUUUCUCAAAUUUUUUAUCUUGUGUCUAUUUUUUUUAUUACCAAUAUAAAUUAACUUGGAGUAUAAUGAUUUAUAUUUUUGCUCAUGCUUGAGGUUGUUUGUUUAGAUAAAAGUUAACUCAAGUGAGUUGUAUUUAAUUAAAAACUCUAUUGGUUUGAGUUCAAACAUUAUUAUAUGUGAAGUUUUAUUUUUUAAAAAGAUUAAACUACCCUCGAAUAAUCUAAUUUAUUUUAAAUAUGAAAAACAUUUUUGUAAUUUUUUGAGUUGAUGUCCGGUUAACUCGUAUCACUAACUCAACCAAGGGUUUAAAUAAUAGUAUAGAUUAUUGCAUUUUAAUUAAUUUUUAGAAGGAAUUAUUUCUAAAAAUAUGUUUUUUUGGUGCACCUCAAUAGUCAACACUAAUAACUCAUUUCCCUAAACUCUAGACCCCUAAUUUCAACAAAGUGUAUAAUUGUUGAAAUGUCCACUUGUUGGUCUAAGUGACAAACGCAAAGCACCAAGAUCAUUUUUUAUGCACUAAAUCAUCCACGGUGUUAUUAUAUUGGUUUACCUCAAAUCAAACAAUUUUUACUGAUCCCCAUUGUAACUACUACAAUAGAAAAUCUUACCCAUGCCCCUAAACCUAACAUUCAACUCGAUGAUUUUUGUUAAUCAUCGUGCUUAAACAAACCCAUAAAAAGUUUACAUGUAUAAUUGAAAAACCUUAACCUAUCUCCUUAAACCGUAAAUCCCCAUAGUUGUGGGUUGAGUAAGCUAGAAACCAUGGGGAUUUUUUGAACUUGGCAUCUCUUUCAAAUAACAUAAAAACCCUAACUUAUUUUCCUAAACCUUAACCCUAAAACUUUAAUCCCCAAACAAAACCUUAAACACUAAAUAGAAACAUUUAAUAAAUUCCCAUCAAAUUCUUUCCUCUAAGGGUUUUUAUGCAUCUCUAAUUUCAAUAAAAAGUAACCUCAACUCUCAAAUUCAGAUGCCUUUUGUGAUAAUGGAUUUCCUCAAGUGUUAGAGCGCCAAUUGAGUAUGAAAGCUUCUUUUAAACUAACUUUAAAUAGGCUUUAGGGUUUAUGAUAAACCUUGUUUAUGAUUAGUAUGAAAGAUUUCACUAUAUCAAAACAAUGUUUCAACACUUAUGGAAAACCAUGAUCUAAAUCAAGAGAGUUCAAGUUUUCCUUGAUUGAAGUUAGAUUUUGGUUGAAAUCAUUGAUCUAAAAGUGAUAGUAGCCAGAAUAGGUUGGAGGAAAUUAGUUUUAAAGGACUUUAUCAAAAUUUUAAUUUAGGGUUUAAGGUUUGAGGGGAAAAGGUAAAUAUUUAAGGGUUAAAAGAUUUUGGUUUGGGGUUAGAAGGAAAAGGUUAAGGUUCAACUCUUGUUCAUUAGGUAAAUUGACUACGAUCUUGACACCCAUGGGUUGUUCAGUUUUAGUAUUAAUAAAAUGCAAACAAAUACAUAACAAACAAUUCUUCAUCUUCCAAAAUCAAAGCUAACCACUAUUUAAAGAUAUUGAGUUUAGUACCCUAAAUGUAGUAUAUUUAUUUUGUAUAGUUGUAUUUUUCGAGAAAAUUGGUUUAAUAAAAAUAUUCAUUGAUUACAUUAAUAGCCUUUGUAUAUUAUCCUCAACGAUUUUGUAUGCAAAGAAAAAUGGAAACAAAGAUUGGCUCACUAGUUAUCUAACAUUUAACAAAUGCUAAAUGGUAUUACGUGGUCGGAUAGUAAUACAAAAAAACAACUUAUAUUAGUAGAUAAACCUAAAUAAGUCAUUAGUCUAAUUGGAAAUGAGCAAGCCGCUUUAAAGACUUAAGUCGUCUACCAAGUCCAAUUGGGGAGAUGCUUUGUCUUGAGCAUCAAAACGAAGGACUCCCAGAAGAUAGAGACAUAGAUGUCACUGACUGGACUGACAAUACAUUGGACAUGACCUAAGUAGGAUAGAUCCUAGAUUGUUUUAUGAAUUUAUUCACUUGAGACAUUCAUAGUGUGACAUACCUUAAUCCUGAGUGGAUGAUGGACUAUGCAUGUAUGACUCAUAUACUUUGAUGGAAGUAAAAGCCUAAAUUCAAAUAAAUAAGGAACCGAAAAAUCGGUAUAUUGCGUAUACGACUUCUACAACAUAUAGCAUCAUUCACAAUAGUGGAAUUCAUAGCUCAAAUAAUAAGUAAAUGAUAUCCUCUCAUUGGCAUUACAUGAUAGAUGAAAAGUAAACAUGGCCACGAGUCAUUUGUCUUUGUGAUAAAUGACUUGAUUACUAUUUAAUAGUACUAGGGACUGCAAACCCUAGUAUAUUUAACUAGGGUUGUCGCCCCGCCCUCCAAUCCUAGUUAGACUAGGAUUAUGUUUUUCUAUUGAAAUAGACUUCUAAUAAUUCAACAAGGGUUUCAAUUCUUCUCCCUAUAAAUAGAUGGAAACAGUAAGGCUAAAUACAAAACUUUGAGAUAUUGUUAUUCUGCCCGAAAAUAGUGAGAAUUUAUUUUCUAAGUAUAAAUUCUAUUUUCUAGAAUAACAAUUCUAUUGGUUUAUAUUAAAGAGAGAUUUUCUUUUCCACUAAAAGUAAAGUAAAUAAUUUAUGGUUCUGUGCUUUAUUUGAAUUUGUUCGAGCCCACAAUCGAAGUAGUUCGUGGUACAGGAAUAACAAAGAAGGCCAUUCGAUUGAAAGCCAAGAAUGACAAGGACCCGUUUAGUCGAAAGCAUAAGUGCAAUUUCUGUAAAGGUUUUAUUGAUAUAACUAUCACAAAUCGGUUUGAUUUUCAAAAUUUAAAUUUUUCACUGGGCAAAAAAACUGUUUUCAAAUCAAUUUUUUUCCAACUUUCAUAUUAACCAAGAAAUAAUAACUAGACUUAUGAAAGAUGAUACCUUAAGUUUGCUUAAGGAAAUUGAUAUUCCACAAUAUGAAUAUUGCUUGGAAGGUAAGAUGACUAAGUGAUCUUUUAAUGCAAAAGGAAUGAGGGUUGUGAAAUCUUAGAACUUGUGCACACUGAUAUAUGUGGCCCUAAGAACGUCAGUGUGCGAGGUGAUUAUGAUUACUACAUAACAUUUAUAGAUGACUAUUCCAGAUAUAGGUAUGUAUACCUAAAGCACCGUAAAAGUGAAACUUUUGAUAAAUUAAAAGAGUUUCGUGCAGAAGUGGAGAAAGAACUAGGUUUACCCAUAAAGACACUUCGGUUUAAUCAAGGUGGAGAAUACUUAUUGGAUGAGUUCUUUGGUUACCUCAUAGAGAAUGUAAUAUUAUCUUAAUUAACCGCGCCAGGAACCACACAACAAAAUGACAUGGCAGAGAAAAGGAAUCGAACCUUGUUGGACAUGGUUCAAUUGAUGUUAAGUUAUUCAUAGCUUCGAGUCUCCUUUUAGAGAUAUGUUUUACAAAUGACUUGCUACAUUUUGAAUGAUGUACCAACUAAGUUUGUACCUAAAACUCCAUACGAAAUAUGGAAUGGCAGGAAGCCAAGUCUAAAUCAUUUAAGGAUUUGGCGAUGGCCAGCCCACGUGUUGGAUAAAGAUGUGAGGAAAUUGGAUUCACAGAUAAAGUUGUGUAUGUUUGUGAGAUAUCCAAAAGUAAUAAAGGGUGGUUUGUUUUAUAACUCGAAAGAGAAAAUAUUGAUAGUGUCGAUUUAUGCUCCUUCAUUGAGAGGAGUUAUACGAACGACUUUAAAUCUUGAAGUAAAGAAGUACUUGAUGAACUUUGAGGAAGUACACAAAUCCUUGGUUUUAAAUCCAACUUCUAAUAAUAGACUUGUAAACAAUCAUCAACAUAAGGAGCUUCAUUGUAGUGAGAAGGUUUCUCGUAAGCCCGAGUUCUUCUAGUCUAGCAGAAGUGUUUUAAACACUGAGUUUUUUGAACAGGAAGAUGAUGACCAACUCACAUUUAAAAAAAUGAUGCUGAAUGCUGAUUCCAAGCUUUGGGAAAUAACUAUAAAAUCUGAGAUGAAUUCUAUGAAAUCCAGCUAAAUGGAUAUACAAGAAGAAAAGAAUGUGAAUGGAAAGUGGAAACUUAUAAGGCUAAACUUGUAGCAAAGGGGUAUACUCAGAAAGAAGGUAUCGAUUACGAAGAAGCCUUCUUUUUGGUUUCCAUACUCAAGUCAAUCUGUAUAUUGUUAUCCAUUGCGACGACUCUUAAUUAUGGAUCUGUCAAAUGGAUGCCAAGCCGAUAUUCUUUAAUGACUAUCUUGAAGAAGACACUUAUAUGAUGCAACCCACUCGAUAUAUAGCUAAAGGAAAUUAGCAUAAAAUUUACAAAUUGCUUAGAUUCAUAUAUGGACUUAAGCGAGCAUCCCGCUCAUGGAAUCAAAUAUUUGAUCAAAUGAUCAAAACUUUUGAAUUUGAGCAAAAUAUUGAUAAACUUUCUGUUUAUAAACAUAUUAAGGAUGGAAAGAUGGUUUUUCUUAUUGUAUAUGUCGAUGACAUUCUACUCAUUGGAAAUGAUUUAAGUACAUUGUCAUCGGUUAAAUUGUGAUUAACCCAACAGUUUAGCUUGAAGGACUUAAGAGAAGCUAUCUUUGUUCUAGGCAUUCGAAUUCUAAGGGAUAGAAAGAACAAAGUGAUAGCAUUAUCACUAGGUAUAUACAUAGACAAGAUAUUGAAAAUUUAUACGAUAACUGAUUCAAAAUUUAGUCAUUAUACUAUAGUGGAAUAACUUCACGACCAAAUAAGUUUAUAAUUAAUAGACGAAAAGUUGGACAUUAAUUAUAAAUUAUUUAAGCCCUAAUUACGUAUGUACAAUUGGUCCCCCCACUAGCUCGUUGAAAAAAAAAUUAAUUGCAUGUGGAACAAAAUGAAUAGAAAUGAAUGGAAAUGAUAAUGUCAGAGAAAUGAGUCACAUUAACAAAUUAAUGUGUUUUCUCACCAGGUAUAGAAAUGAAUUGAGAAAUUAAUUUAAGGUUUUCGAAUGAUUAUUUAAUUAAUUAUAAUUAAAUAAUUGAAGUUAAAAAAUGAAAUGAAAUUAAUUUUCUAUUAUGAAUGCUUUGAAUAAUGAAAUUAAAUAUACUUCCUCAUAAAAUCUUUUACAAUAAAGUUGUUAUAACUUUAACGGAAUUAGAAUUGAGUUGAGAUAAUUAUUUAAUUGAGUAAUUAAUUUAGUUAAUUAAAUUAAUUAAUUAAAUAAUAUUUAUUUUUGAAAAUAGAAAAUAAACAUUAGGUUGGAUUAAAUCAUAAAAUGCUAGGUUAAAAGUUUAGGAAACUCAUAUAAUUGAACCCAAUACAUGAGAGGUCAAAUUUGUCCCGUAUAACAUGUGAGCAACAACAACCCAAAGGGAAUUUAAGAGGAUGUGUUGCCUCCUCUCUCUUAGUUAGACAAAGAGAGUGUUUUCUAUUAAAAUAAUUGUUGAGUAUGACUCCUAUUUCAGUCAAAUUUGAAAAAUAAUCUUCUAGUUAAACUCUGUUUAUUUGUUUCAAUCAAAUUAUGAUUAGUCUAGAUUAUUUUUUUAUUAUUUGACCUAUGAAUUUAGCCUAUAAAUAGGCUCUUUUACAACUUUAGAAAAUACACCCAUUAGAGAUUAGAACUCAUACACUUUUGGAGAAUUUUUGUGUUUACAUUUUGAGGGUUCUUUGUUUUUUGGGGUUUCAGGGUUUAGUUUCUAUCUUCAUCUUUGUACUAUUCGUUCUUUUUUCAUUAUAGUAAAAUUAUUUUUGCCCGCAGUAUUUUAUCUUCUUUGGAGGGGUUUUUCUACGUUAAAUUUGUGUGUUCAAUUUCUCAAUUUCUUCCGGUAUUUUUACUUGUUCGUUGCUUAAUUGGGUCAAUCCCCAACAAUAACAUUAUUUGUUUAAGCCUUAUUCAACCAAGAUUCUUCUAUCUCUCUCUAUGAAUAGAUAGCACCGAUUGACUUAAAAAACACACUUAUUAGUUAUUGAUUUAUCGUUAUUCUACCAAAAAAUAGUGAUAAUUUAUUCACUUAGAAUAAAUUAUAUUUUUUGGGAAUUACGAUUUUUACCAGUUUCUUAAGAGAAUUUUUUUCCUACUGAAAGUAAUAAUAAUUUCUUGUUCGUUGUUUGGUUCGUGUUUCUCGAGCCCACGCUCAACCCAAAUCCAUCUUGCACAAUGUAUAGGUACUUUUUGGUAAAACGUUUAUUGCUAUAAACAUCAUAAAUCGGUUUAGUUUUUAAAAUUUUUAAACUUCUGCUAUAACUAUAAAUCGUUAUGAAGGAUUUUGAAGAACCAUAUUUUUAAGUGGGACCGUGUGUAUUAAAUCAAAUAAAAUUAUGAAGAAUUUUGAAAAACCACAUUUGUAAGUGGAAUUGGAAAAAGGAAAUUGAGCUACUGAGAUCCCCUCUUGAAAUUACUUAUAAAUUCUGAAAUUCUUUAAUAUAUUUACCCAAACAAAUAAAUUCAUUUUUAUAAAUUUAAAAAUCUUGAUAAAAAUAAAAUCCCUCCUAUAAAUCCCUCACCCAAACACACUUUUAAGUACCUAUGCAAGUUAGGAAGCAAAUGAUGACAAGGACUCAUCACUUACAAAUGAUCCAUUAGAAUGUCUGACCGGCAUUACACGUGUGUGCAUAAAACAACAAAUUUAUAAAAAAAAAUUUAUAGCAAGGUUUUACUGCAAUCAUGCAGGUUAGUUGUAAUAUUUGUAGUGUUACAAUGGAACACCAAAAUAUUCCAAGGAUCGAACUCAAAGGAGUUGGUGAUUUAAUGAUCUGCCACGAAUUAUUGACCGCCUUCAGACAUACUAACAUCUAGAGUGUGAAUAUUGCAGCAAAAGAUAUAUAUAAAUGAUGCGGUAUCUGCAAGUACACGGGUCAGGUUGUAAUAUAGUUACAACGAAGUAUGUGAGUACUCUGAGGAUCGUACCCAAAGGAGGCUAAUACUAGCUCAAUUUCAACCUAAACACCAAAAGAUCUAAUUAGUACUUGAAAUAAGUUAUAUUACGAAAAUAUAAAUAAUAGAGAUUUUUGGGGGUUUUUUAUAGUAAUGAAAAUAUGACAAGUAAUUAAAUAUUGAGAAAUUGAAAAGUGAAAUUAAUCAAAUCUGAUUAUGGGUGAUUAGCUCACUUCAGUAAUCUUCAUCAACUGCCGCUUUAGGUUCCUCAUCAAUCAACUAGUUGAUAUCCUAGUAGAAUCUUCCGAUGGAUCCACUAGAACAAUAAGUCAGCAAUGACUACUUAUCUUCUGACCUCACAGUCUAGACCGGUUUGAGGUGAAGGUGUUUACAGAUAGGCCAUAGCAAUUUUAGGUUAAUUUCCACCUUGAUAACUUCUUAGGGUCGUCAAGCCUAGGUUUUACGUUCUUCUUUUCCCAAACAGCUGAUCUGUUGAGUAAUCCUACAAAACAGUUAAUAUAUCAUAGCUCCACUCGCUAAUCCCCCAUAAAAGGAUUAGUUCCUCAUGGUUUUCGUAAACAAUAUAAAGUUGAUAUAAAGUGUAAACAUGAUAAUUGAAUCGAAAGUAUAAAGUUUAAGAAAAAGCCUGAUUUGUAUUACGAAGAAGAAUGAAUCCACAAAGUUUAAUCGUAUCCACAAGUCAUAUUUCCUGAGAUAAAACAAAGAACAAGCUGAAAUAAAUAUAAAACCUAAGAAAAGAUAAAUACUAAACUAAAAAUAAAAAGAAAGAUUCUAAGCUAAGUAAUCAGUGUCUAUAACAUGUGCCAAAUGAGCCUAUUUAUAGAUUUGAGGUGAUCGUCGUCCUUAACCCUAGGUUAGCUGACAUUCCCGAACUUUAAGUUGGAUUGUGCGGACCAAAAUACCCCCUGGCUCGUAUUAAUUCCCGUCAAGAGUUGAUGUUGCGACACAUCAAAACCUGUGUCGCGACAUAAAAGUCAGUAUACUUUUCUUCAAAGUGUCUUUAGGGGUAUGUCGCGACAUCCUUAAGCUGUGUCGUGACAUCAAAGGAAAUCUUAGAAUUCCUCCAUUCUGCUCCCUAUGUUGCAAUAUCGAAUCCUCUGUGUUGCGACAUAGUGACUAGUAUCAGUUUAGCACGCCUCCUAAUGGUCUCCUAUAUACUCACAAAGUUCAUUAGCUCACCCUUAGACCUCGUUCGACCCCUAAGGUCAAGAAAAGACUCAAUUUAUACAUUUUGUUGAAUUUAAUUAAACUUACUAAAACAUAAUUAAAAUCUAAUGAUAAUGCUUAUUUUCAAGCUCUUAAAGUGAAAAAAUUAGUUUAAUCUACUAACCCAAUUAUGACAGAUCAAUUAUAUUAUUAUUAUUUAUAUCACUUUUUACACGUAAUUUUAGCUUGUUUAAUAGUAAAUAAAAUUAUCUUAGUAUAUAUUUAUGUUUUCAUACUUGAAGUAAUGAUGUAUGCUUUUUAGUAGUUUUUAUUACAUUUUAGAUAUAUAAAUAUGGUUGCAUGGUCCUGUAGGACAAUCUGGGAGCAAAAGAUGCAUAUUCAUGAUGGAACUGUUGCCUAUGUCGCGACACCAACACAUCGAUGUUGUAACAUCAAAGGCAGAAGCAAAAACAAGUCAAUGAGCGAAACUGCUUGGUAUGUCGUGACAUAGCCUUACUAUCUUGGAGCGAAGACCUAAUAAAUUGUACAUAAAUUGAAACCUUGAACUCUUCCUUAUCCUUGGUCUUUUAAUACAUUACAAAAUAGACGUUAGGCUAUAGAUAUUGAGGGUUUAGGUAUAUACAUCAUGGUGGUUUCAAAAAAAUUUAGAGCGAAAAAAGAAGAAACAAUAUGAUACAAUGAUUAUAGGUCAAGCAAAAAUGUGCAAAAAAAGAAAAAUAUAGAAAAAGUAAAAAGUAAAAAUAAGAAGAAAAAGUACAAAAUAAAAGCAAAAGCCUUAUGAGUGAGAAAAAAAGUAAAAUGUCAAGUGGCAAAACAAAAAGUCACAAAAGUGAGAAAAACUCAGUCAUCAAUGCACAAAAACUCGUUGAGCCAACCAUAGUUAUUAGUAUUAUAUUGUAUCUUCCUACAUGGAGAGAUAAGGAAGGUGAGAGAGGGAGAAAAAAGAAGGUGAGCUUGAAAGGGGCACCUAGAGAGAGAGGGAAUAAUGUCAUGUGCCUAACUAUUUCUAGUGUUUGAACUAUUUUGAGCCAUAUCUUUCUUUGAACUCGUACAGUCCUAAGCCUCAGAACAUUACAAGCCUAGAAGACCAAUGUGACUUAAGCGUUCUCUGUGCAUAAUCUUCUAGUAUUGCUAAUGUAAUGACCUAAAUUCAAGGUUAGCGGAAUAGUGGUUUCGUAACCAUAAAUCCGAUUUAAAGAAAAAUUUAUUUUAAUAUUUUGCAUGAAUAUUGAUAUGAUAGGAAAACCGUAUGAAAAUAUUGAUAGAAAAAUUUUACCGAUUUAAUGGUUAGUUAGAAAAAGAAAUUAUUGAAGAAAUUGGGUAAAAAUAAGGUAUGGGGACCUUGAUCUCGUAAAACUGAGUCAGAAAUAUUUUUAUAAAUAUUUAUGAAAUGUAAGCAAUGUGGUAUUAAAAUUUUGUUAUAAAAUUUUAAUGUUUGGGUAGUCAAUUAAAUGAAAAGGACUAAAUUGAAAAAGGUGUAAAAGUGGCUGGGAUGAUUAAAUAGCUUAGGUGUCUAAUGAGAAAGGAUUUAAAAGGCAAUUAGACCAAAAUUUAUUUGGGCUGGACGGAAAGGGCAUGAAAUCAGCAAGAAAAUGGAUUAUUUAAGGGUAAAAUUGGAAUAUUGCAUCAUUAACUAAAUAAAAUUAGGACUAAUGUAGAAAUAUCUAGAUUUCUUGUGAUUUCUCUUCAUUCUCAUCAGCCAAAAGGCCAUAGGAGGGGUUCUUUAAGCUGGUAUUUCAUAAUUUUUGCACCAAGUGAGUUAAUCCUUGCCUUUUUCUUGUAAUUUUUGUGUUUCUAAGACUUUUACAACUAGGUUCUACUAUUAAAUUCAUUAGUUUUUGAUUUCAUGGAUGGAAUUGAAAGUCACCAUGGUUGAGUGCUGUAAGUUUAUGAUGAAAUAACAUGAAAUUGAAGCUUUAAUUUGUUUAUGAGAUGAUUUUAUUAGGUAAUUUUAAUAGAAAUUGAUUUUUAAGACCUAAUUGUGAAAAGUUGGAAUUAAAGUCUAGUGCUGAAAUUUUGAUUCCCAAAGGUUAUAAAGUAGUUUAAAGUGAUAGAAUAAAGUGUUAAUUGAGAAAAAUCAGCUCAAUUGAGAGGUUAAUUGAGCAGGGACGAAAUUAUCAUUUAUUAAAAGCUUAGGGGAAAAUGGUAAUAAACAUCUUGCACUAAAACAGCUUUGGACAGCAACAGUAGGCUAACUUUAAAAAAAUCACCAUAAAUUGUGGAAAUCUAAUUAGAGGAUAAAUAAAAUAUUGAAUUAAAGCUUAUUGAGUCUAGUUUCUUAUAGUAGAAACGGUGUAAGUAAUGGAAUUGUAAAUCAUGAGAUAUAUUAAAUUUUGUGAGACAAGGUCAGAAUGAAUUCGGAAUCCCCUGUUCUGAAUUUGGAAAAUCAUUAAAAAUUGGAGAAAAAUAAUUAAGGGUUAAAAUUUACAUAUUUAAACUAUUAAUGAGUCUAUUUUUAAUAGAAACAAACGGAAAUAUCAUCCAAAUUUUGUACUAAGAGAUAAUUAAUUUUUAGCAAAGAAAGGUCGAAGUUGUCAAACAACAGAACAGGGGUAAGUUUGAAGAUUUUACUGUACUCAUUGGCUGAACCAAAAAUUCUGAAAAUUUUAUGGUGAAAAUAUAUUUGAGUGUAGUUUCAGAAGCAUCAAAUGGUUUUUAAUAUGGAAUUCUGUAGCUUGAGAUAUAAAUAAUUUAGUGACUACGACUCAAGUAGACAGCUUUGAGUGAACAGUAAAUAAUAGUGGAAUUAUAGAGAAUGUUACAUAUGAACGUGAAAUGUAUUAAAUUGAUGAUUAAAUUUAUUUAUUUAGAUCCAGAAAAUUCAAAUAUGAAGCUAGAUCGAGGAAAGGAAAAAGUUCGGGAUUAGUAGAUUUUUGUAUACGAACAAGUAUCGAGGUAAGUUUGUGUAACCUGAAUUAUAUUCUUAAAUGCUUGAAAUGUAUAUUAUUGAUGUGAAUAUGAUUUAAAUGUUCAUUGUAUGAAAAUUGAUGAGACAUUGAUAUAUUUGAUAAAAAGGGGGAAAAAUCCCGGUUGAAUAAAAGGAAAAUUCGAUGGAUCUUUAAAAAGGAAUUGACGGUAAAGAAAAGAUCUAUCCCGGACAGGUGAUCCUACCCUGAUAUAGCCCUCUCGAAGAAUAUGUGUAAAAUAGAUUUAGCUCAGACGGGUAAUCUGAAUUAGGGUUUGAAUUUAGCCUGGACUAGUAAUUCAGAUCCAAGCUCAUUAGAGUAAAUUGUCGUUGUAGGGGAUUUAGCCUAGACUUGUAAUCACAACAAUACUCUAUAAGUUUAUAUUACAGGGGAUUUAGCCUGGACUGGUAAUCCUGCUGUAAGGAUGAGGUUCGCAGGAGUGUGCUCUCUGAAAUGGAAAUGUGCGCACAUGAAUAUGAAUUGACGGACCCGGAAUAGUACGCUAAAAGUGUACCUCUAAAAACCCAUCGAAAUUCCGAGAAAUUCAAUGGGAUAAAUAUGGUAAAUAAUAAGGGUAAUAGAAAACAUGGAAUUGAUGAGCUCAUCAGUCAUUAAUCUUUGUAUUGAACUCAUAUGAUGCUAUUUGAUUAAUGUUUUGGUUGAGUUUGUGUGAUAGGUAAAUGGUAAAUUGAAUGGAUGUAUGAAUAUUUAUUGUAUUGUAUUGGAAAUAUUAGGUAAGUAUAAUUCUUGUUACAUGACUUUACUAAGCACAACGUGCUUACCCUGUUUCCUUUUUCCCUGAUUUGUAGUAUUAAGAGCUCGAAGGUUGGAUUCGGUCGGAGAUACAUCACACUAUCAACUUCAACAUUUUGGUAUAUCAAGAAACUUUAUUUUGGAAUCACUGAUGUGUAUAAGUUGAUAGAGUAAAUGUUAAAGUGAAAUGAAUGUAAAGUUAGCCAUUGGUAUGGCUUGAAAUCCAGGUUUUGGUAUGUGAUGAGGUUAUCUUAUGGAUAUGCGUAAAUCUAUCUUGAAAAUAUGUUGAAUUUGAUUGGUUGAUUUGAUUUGAUAUCGGUGUAUGUUUUGGGCUUCGGAGGCCUAUCUAAGGGACGUCAUAAUAUGUUUCAAUAAAAGAAUAGUAUUUAACUCGUAAUAACGAAAAAAAAUAAUUUGAAAAACUCUGGCAAUGCCUCGUACCCUAUUCCAGUGACGAAUAUAGGUAAGGAGUGUUACAGCUAACAAUUGUACUUAAUGAAAAUUUUUUAUUCACAUGAUUGUAUCUACUCAAUAUCUAUUUGAUUUCUAUUAACGGUGAUAUUGUUAAACAUUUGGUUAUGAGAUUUGCUUCUAAUUUAUUAGUAAUGUAACUUUGUAAAGUAAUCUUAGUUUACUUUAAAAAGUUUUCAAUGCAUCGAACUAUCAAUAUUAAGUUGCAUGUGCGAUAAAAUUUUUUAUAGCUUUACUAUUUGACAACCAUGUUCGUAGUAGUAAUAAAUUCCAAGGGACGUCUUCUUUUUGCAUACUAUAUGUCUAAAGUUGGUUUGCUUGAGGACAAGCAAAAAGUUAAGUGUGGGGGAGUUACGUGUGAGAUUCUUAUUUACAUCCAUCUUCACUAACUUUAUCUUGUUUAAAUAAAGAAAUCAAGUCAUUUUCGUAUUAUUUUUUUUCCUUUUUCCCAUAUAUGUGUUUUGGUUGCUUGAGGACAAGCAACAAGUUAAGUGUGGGGGAGUGAUCUACCAGGAAUUAUACUAUUAUUUACAUCCCUUUGUAUACAUAAUUGUAUCUUGUUUAAUAGUAAAUCAAGUUAUCUUAGUAUAUAUCUAUGUUUUCAUACUUGAAGUAAUGACAUAUGUUUUUUAGUAGUUUUAUUACAUCCUAGAUAUCUAAAUAAGGUUAUAUGGUCAUGUGGGACAAAUCGGGAGCUAAACAUGCAUAAACGGGCCAAAAAUGAUGCCUAUGUCGUGACACCAAGACACCGAUGCCGCAACAUCAGAGACAAAAGCAAAACAAGUCUUGGGGUGAAACUGCUUGUUAUGUCAUAACAUAACAGGCACCAUAUUUGAUUUUGCAACACUACAUGCCUAUGUUGCAACACCACUUCUGCGCGGUCCAAAAGUCCUAGUGCGUGAUAGUUGCAUUUUUUAGGGAAAUUAGGAGAAUUUUUCCUAGUCAAACUCUAAGCACUUCAAAGAUAGUUUAGGCACUUUAAUAUUCUGAGUUUAGCCUAUAUAAAGGCCAUUGUAAUAAGUUCAAACACACAAUUUUAAGGAGACAAAAAUUAUUCUUAGGUUUUUAUUGCAUUCUUAGUUUCUACUUAGUUUAUUUUAUGUUCUUGUAAUCAAAAGAUCCUAUUCCAAAGUGAGACUUUUGCGAGCGGAGAUUGUUCGGAGCCAUACUUUCAUCGAUAAAUCUAUGAGCAUCUCUUUCCUUUAUUUUAUUCUUUAUAUUUCUUUCUUUAAAAUUGUUAAUUGAAUGUUUGUGUAAAGAUUAGAAUCAAUAUAAUUUAUAUAUAUUUCGCAUGUUUCAAUUGUACUAAUCUUAUUAAUUGAUUGAUUGAUAGAGUUUAUUUGGGUUGGUUAGAUUUGGUUGAGUGUUAUUAAACCCUAGGAUUGACAACCCUAAGAAGUCAUCUAGGUAGGAAUUAACUUGAAAUUGGUAUUGCCUACAAAGCAUCACUUAGCAAAUCAAUGGUUAGAGAAGGAAGAACUUAAACCCUAUGAUAGACGAUCCUAGGAAGUCAUAUAGGUGUGAAUUAACCCAAAUUCGGUAUUGCCUAUCCAUGAAAACCUUACCCUACCCCGAUCUGGACUGCAUCAUUGAGAGGUGAGUAGUUCUUGUCGUCUAGUUAGGUUAGUAGAAGUUGAGAAGCCCUGCUAGGUUAAUUAGUAACCAACUAUUUAGAUCCCUACAUCAAUAAUUAAUUAGGUAAAACAAUUGGAUCUAGGCUUAAGGAACUCCCGUAUUCGAAACAAGGGAUAGGAGAAGUUGAUACAUGAACUUAAGAGUAGAUUUAAGUUUAGAUCACUUUAUUUGGUUAUUAUUAUCAUCUUACUUUUAGAUUAACACUACUAAUUUAUACCUUUAGUAGAUUAGUAGUUAUUUUCGGUAAUUUGCUUAAUAGUAGUUUUUUUUUCACACUGCACAAUCUUCAGAAUACUUACCAAGUAUUUCAUUGUAAACAAACUAUAUUACAACCUGCCCCUUAUACUUGUGAACACAACCUUAAUUCCAUAUAUUUUGUAACAGUAUUCAUACUCUCAACGUUGGUAUGUCGGGAGGCAGUCAUUUAGCGAUUUCUAUUCAAAAGUGCAUGCAAGUAAGGAGACCGUGAUGGGCACAGUGAGGUGUCUAUUAGUUGAAAGCAAGUUGCCAAAGGAAUUUUGGGUUGAGGUAGUUAACACUUCAGUCUAUUUGGUGAACAGGCUGUCAACCAAGGAUGUGAAAGAAAAGACUCCAUUUGAAGCUUGGUACGGGUAUAAGCCUUUUGUUUCUCAUUUGAAAGUAUUUGGCUAUAUUUUUUUUUCAUGUACCUCAGGUGAAAAAAAGCAAAGUAGAAAGGAAAUCGUAGCCUGGGAUUUUUAAGAUGCUACUAUCUGAUUCUUAAGGAAAUACCAAUAUUUCUUCCUCCCUUGAGCUGGAAGUUGCGAUUUUGGGUUGUUAUGAGGAGAUAUUUUAUGUUUGGUUAAGUAGUAUGACUUUGUAUGCGAGUUCUGAAAGAGUAAGUUUGUUAGAUUUGGUAAAACAAAAAGAUAAAGAUAUGAGGCUUUGUUUGGGGACUUCUAAUGUUAGAAAUGUUAGUAAAAAGGUAUAUGAAUAAAUUUUGAUGUGCUUCUAUGUUCUGUAUCAGUGCUUGCUGUUGAUUUCGUAAUGAGAGUCUAGAUCUAGAGUUUUUCUUUGCGACAAGUUAGAAUCAGGUGAGUCUCUAAACUGACUCUUGUAUGUAUUAUUCAUACUAAAAAAACUGUAGGAAAUUUCUUGGAAGGUGAUGUGUGAUCUUGUAAGUUGCAGUAUGUUGUGUAUGUGACUUAGGAGUGACUAUUAAAGGAUAUAUAUGAGUGUGUGAAUGUUUGUUAAGAAUGGAAUACAUAUCUGGUAUGAAUAUGAUAGUUCUAGUAAGGCGAGGUGAGGUAUAGUUGCAUCUGAAUGUCAUGAAAGUAUAUGUGCAUGUCUUGGAUGUAUGCUAUGAGGAAUGUUCUAUUAAGAGCAAGUUGUUAUUCAAAUGGUGAAUAUGGAUCGUGUCAGUGCAUGUAGAGUAUCUGUCUGUCUUCACGGUAUUGUCUAAAGGAGUCUGUUGAGACUUUAAACACGAAUUCUGAAAAGAAAAUUCCAUGGCCAUGGCACAUUCCGAAAGGAACUAAAGGACGAGGAUUACCCAAUGGGGUUAUCUGCCUAUCCCAGGAUGAUGAUAGGCAAACCUCACGCAACGUGAGUUUAGGAAAAUCUAUAUCAUAAAUACGUCAGGAAAUGAAGCCUUUGUGGAUAACUCUAAAAAGAAAGCCUUUGUGGCUAACUCUAAAAAGGAAGCUUUCAUGGCGAACUCCAAAGGAAUAACCUCUAUGGCCAAUUGUAAUAGGAUAGCCUUUGUGGCGCAAUGUAAAAGGAACACCUGUGUGGCGAAUUAUGAAAAGAAUAGCCUUUGUGAUGGAUUAUGAAAGAGCAUCAUUCGUAGCAAACUUCAAAUGUGAUGUCCUUGUGGCGUGUCUUAAUAAGGCUCUUAGUGGGAAAACUUUAAAAGAUGUCACUUAUGGCAAUUUUUGAAUUAAGCUAAUUUUCGUAUUCAAUCUGGCUUUUAAAUGUAUUCAGAACACAAUCAACAAGGCAUAAGUUAUCUAUUAAUUAUACGGUGAAGUAUCACAUAGGACUAUCAAUCGAUUGGAAGUAUUGAAUUGAAGAGAUAUAUAGAAAUAAGGAAUUAGUAUGGAAAGUUUAUUUCAAAAUAAGGAUUUGGAAUUGUACAUUUGAAGAAGGUAUUUGUCAUCUACUCACAUGAUGGCUUAGAACUAAGUAUGGUACAGUAAUAGUGUGUUAGUUAAGUUGAUCUUGGAAAGGAAAUGCAAAGAUACUUAUAAAUGCUAGGAUGAAAGGCAUACGUGAUGUAUCGAAUACCCCAAUGGAAAAAGAGUUAAUUUUUGAGUAAGGCAUGAUAUAUAUAGUGUAUGAAGAAUGGAAUUUGAGGGAAGCAAUCGCCAAAGACAGGUUACUGGGCAAGAACAAUAAGAUCAUCUCAUUGAAUCAUCAACUGUAUUGUGCAAAUAUCACAUAGGUAAUUAUAUAUUCCUCACUUAGUUUGUAUAAACUUAUCCAUGUGUAUGUUAUAUUAUAGGUUUGAUUGCAAGGCUACACCAAGAGGGACGAUACCAGGACUACUCUAAAGGAGUGGCGUAUCGGGAAAUUAUGAAUGCAAUUAGUUGAUAUGUUCCUUAGAAUUCAUAUUUUUUUUGUAAUAUAUAGGUUUUAAAUUAGAAAUAUUUAUACCUUAAUUACCAUGUGUUGCAAAUGUAGUUAUCUACUGAACAUACUUAUAUAUUUAGUUUGAAAUCUGCAAUUGAAUAAGUUGUAAUUGUUUGAAAUUUGUAUAAGUAGGUUAAGUUUUUGUUUGUUUAUGUUGGUAAUGCCCAAGAUCUAGAUCCAAAAAAACGGACCAAGCUCAACAAAGGACUUCUCCUCGGCCAUGACUACAAUAAGCUCAGUGAUGCAUUGUCGGUGCAAAUAAUGUUCUUCCCAAAACUUCAAUCCAUCUUCAAACUAGUAGAAUGCUUCUUUUUCACUUAUAUCAGAUAUUUAAAGCAUUUAUUCACUAAAGUACUAAAUAGUGCCUUCUUGAGUAAGCCAGUGCAACUUAGCCCGAGCUUCCUUCUCGGCAUAUUAUUGGUAAAACUGUUUUUUCAUCUCCUUUUGGAACUCCUCCUAAAUUUUAAUUUUAGUCCUACCAUGUUUCUCAUCCGUGAACCUACGAUGCCACCAUAAGAGAGUAACAUCAGUAAAAUAAAUUAAAGCAGUGUUUACCUUAGUGACAUCUAUAAUGACCCAAAAUUCACGGGCAUCGAAAAAGUAUAAUAUCGAGCCUCCGUCUUGAGUUUAAAAAUAAUUAUUAGAAAUAUUUACGAGACUAGUUGUGUGUUUAAUUAGGUUUUAGAUAGGUGAAUUUGGCUCAAUUAAGAGUAAUUAGCAAAAGGGAUUAAAUUACAAUAGAAGUGAAAAUCUAAUCAUAGAUUAAAAGAAAGUAAAAAGGGCUAAAAUGGCAAUUAAGCCAUUUAAAAUGAUUGAGGCGGCAUAAAGGAAUAAAUUUUAAGAUUUUAUUUAUUUAAUUAUAUGAUUAAUGAUAUUUAUUGUUUAUUAUUAGUUAUUAGUUAUUAUUAAAUUAAAAGAUAUUUAGUAAUUAAAUAAUUAGUAUAAGAUUUUUGGGUAAUAAUAAAUUAUGAUUUUGCCAAGUGUGUGGUAAAAAUAAAAUACAAGUGUAUUAUAUUUCUUUAUUUACUUGAAAAUUAAGUAAAAGAUAAUUGUUAAUUAAAUAAUAAUAUUAUGAGAUUUUUAUUUGAUAAAUUAGUUAGAUUGAGACAAGUGUAUGUAAUGAUUUAAUGCAAGUGUACUAAUAAAAUACAUACAUUUGUAAUAUUUAUAAUUAGUUAAUAUAAUAUAAAGUAAAUGAAAUAAAAUGAAAUAAAAACAAAGCAAAAGAAAGGAAAGAAACAGAAUAGAAGAGACGAAACAGGGGAGAAACAGGGGAGAAAGAAGAAAAAGAAGAAAAUAGGGAAAAUAGGGUUUUUGAAGCUUGAAAUUUAAUUUGGUAAGUCAAAUUAGCCCUUUUCUCUUAAUUCUAAUGUUUUAAAAGCUUUAAAACAAAGUUUUGAUGGAAUUAAGUUGAUAUUUUGUAAGUUCAUAGGUUUUCAAGUAACGUUUAUGUUGAACAAAAGAGAUGAAUUAAGAAUUAAAUUGAAUGAAUUUUAAGUUAGAAUUGAAAAAGGGAUUAAAUUGUAAAAGAAACUAUAAGUUUUAUGUUUUAGGGACUAAAUUGAGGGAAAUUCGAAAUUAGCAAAAAUGCUGAAAUUUCGAUAGUUAAAUUUUAGUUUGGAUGAAAUUUGAAUAGAAAUAGAGUGUGAAUUGAAUUAGGAAAGCAAGUGAAUUUAGUUAGGAUUAAAUUGAGAAUUAGGAAGAAAUUGAAUAGAAAUUCAAUUAUUUAUUAUAAUUAGUGCUGUAAUUAAUAUUACAAAUUAUUAUUAUUUUCGUAGCUAACAAAGAACCCGAGGCAUCGGCGUCAAAAGGAAAGGAGAAAGUUAUCGAGGACUAAAACGGGAGAUUUACGGUUUGUAUUACUAUAAUUCAAAUUAUUUAUUUUUAAAUGUUUAAUUUUAAUUUAUGUGUUUAGUAAAUGAAAUGUGCGGUAAGUAUUAUUAUUAUUAUUAUUAUUAGUGGGAAUUAAACUGAAUAUUUGAUAUGAAUUAAUAUUUGAAUUGUUUGUUGAUUGAAAGUGGGAAGUGAAUUUAAAUCGAAUAGUGACUGAUAUUAAAUUGAAUGGAAAUGUAUUGAGUUGUGAAAAUGUGUGAAUUGCGGAUUAAUUAUUGAUUGAAAGGUGGAAAAAUGAUUGAAUUGAAAAUGUGAGAAAUUGUGAUUGAAUUGGGAUUAUAUGUGAUUUAAAUACCCUAUUAACUAGUCGGGCUGAGUCGGAUAUAGUUGGCAUGCCAUAGGAUUGGAAGAGUUCAGGGAUACUUCGACCUCGAGUCGAUGAGACACUGGGUGUCACUAUAUUUUUUCGGAUAGAUUCGAUGAGGUACUGGGUACCAACUUUCUUCGGCUUUGCCGAUGAGACACUGGGUGUCAACUAUUGCUUCGAACUAUCCGAUGAGGCACUGGGUGUCAUACUGGUGUGUUUGGUUGGAUCCGUGUAUCCGCCAAAGUCCGAGUUUUGUUAAUAGGGUAAUUAAUGAAAUGAUAAACCGAACGAGCUACUGAAAUGAAAUGAAAAAGUUGAAUUGUGAAUUGAAAUGUGAAAUGAGAUUGAGAAAUGAACCUAAAGUUCAUGAGAUGUUCAAAUUCAAAUUGUGGAUAUGUGAUAUUGAUUGAUGGAUUGCUAUUGUUGAGAUAUUGAAUUUAAAUUGUAUAUACGAUUUAUGCAUUACAUGUACAUUAUUGUUAUAAUUUGAAUUAUGGUAAUACCACUGAGUAUGAAUUACUCAGCGUACGGUUGUUUCCAUGCGCAGGUCGAUAGAAGUCAAAGGUCUCGGUUCAGCAUCCAGAUUAAUCCCGGCUUCAGCAUAACUUUGGUGAUGUAUAUUUUCUUUUGGUAAUGUGGCAUGUACAUAGGAAUUAUAAGUUUUAUAUAAAUGGUUAAAAAUGUUAGUAUUAUAAGUUUAUGAAUUAUAAUGAAAGAAGUUUAUCUAUUUUAAUCUAAUUAGUCAAUGGAUAAAUUUAAAUUGAUAUUAUGUUAAUUGAGUUUGAUUAGAAGUAUUUAGAAUAGAAAAUGUGAAUGUGAAAUGAAUUGGUUGAUUUGGUUAUAUUUGAAAAUGUUAUGGAUUUUAAUUGCAGGGGGUUGUAUGUAAAAAUAAGCAGAAGUGCUGCCGAAAUUUUUCAAAAAAAAAAUGAAUGAAGUUUAUUAGCGAAAUUUAUAUGAAUUUAUGACUCUCUUUUAUAUGUUCGUUAAUUGUUUAUGAAUUAUUUGAAAUUUGUCUGAAAUGUCCGGUAAUGCCUCAUAACCCUGUUCUGGCAACGGUUCAGGGUUAGGGGGUGUUACAGUUGUUGGUAUCAGAGCUAUCAGGUUUAGCCGAUUCUCGGCCUAAAUCGAGCUCGGAAUUGAGUCUAGAUGUACAUGCCACUGUCGAGUCAAACUGAGUCGAGAUUUUUGGAUGCUGACCUAUUUGUUUGCUUUGUUUUAUAGAUUAAAGAUGUCUGAAGAAAGAAUAAAUGAUACUGAUGAAAGAAUGUAUACUGAAGAUAGAGAAUUAGAUGAAACAGAAUCUGCUGCACCGAGUGUGAAUCUGUUAGGCAACCAGCCUCCUAAUGUGGAACGGGAAAAUGCCAGAGAUAGAGAUGAAUCCCAAUUACUGAGAAUUAUAGCUGAUGCAUUACAAAGAGUAGCGAGAACUACUCCUGCUACGACUUCAGUACCUACUGUUAGACGGGCCCCGAUAAAAGAACUGAGAAAAUAUGGUGCCACUGAAUUUAUGGGUCUAAAAGGAGUCGAUCCAUCCGCAGCUGAAAAUUGGAUGGAGUCGAUUAAAAGAAUUUUGCAGCAAUUAGACUGUACCCCCCGUGAGUGUUUAAUCUGUGAUGUAUCGUUGCUACAAGGGGAGGCUUAUCUAUGGUGGGAAUCAGUAGUUCGACAUCUAUCAGAGAGUCAGAUAACGUGGGAUCUAUUUCAGAAGGAAUUCCAAAAGAAAUAUAUCGGAGAGAUAUAUAUCGAAGACAAGAAACAAGAGUUUUUAAUGUUACAACAGGGGGAUAUGUCAGUAAUAGAUUAUGAGAGAGAAUUCUCGAGACUCAGCAGAUAUGCCUCCAAAUUUAUCCUGACAGAAGCUGAUAGUUGUAAAAGAUUUCUAUGGGCUUUGCGAGACGAGAUCAAGGUACAGUUAGUAUCUCAUCGGAUCACUGAGUUAGUAGAUUUGAUUGAGCGGGCUAAAAUGGUGGAACAAGUUCUAGCCCUUGAUAAAAAGACUGAAGUUGUUAGACCAACCAGGAAAUGUACAGGAACUACGAGUUCGAACCUUCAGCCGAAAAGACCAAAGGAGUCUCAAGGUGGUUGAAGAUCCAGUUUCAGAUCAGGCAAAGGUGGUAGAAGCAGGGGAAGAUAGAUGACGGUAUCUACUGGCAAUGUGAGAGGUCCUUGUCGAGAAAUAGAAAUUCCAGACUGUCAACACUGUGGAAAGAAACAUAGAGGGGAAUGUUGGAGAUUAACUAGAGGUUGUUUCCGAUGUGGUUCUACAGACCAUUUUAUCAGAAAUUGUUUGAAAACUGAUAGUACUGUACCCGUGACAUCACAGAGAUCGGUAUCUACUGCUAGAGGCAGAGGGUUAGGAAGAGGUGGUUCGGUUUCAAGGGGAGGAAGUAUUAGGAGGAGUAGUGAUAUUGCUACCCAGCAGUCUGAAGCUAAAGUACCUGCCAGAGCUUAUGUGGUCAGAACACGGGAAGAAGGCGACGCCCACGGUGUAGUAACAGUAAGAUCAGAACUGUAUGUGAGUUUCCAGAUGUAUUCCCUGAAGAACUACCGGGUUUACCACCUGACAAAGAGGUUGAAUUUGCUAUAGAAGUGUAUCCGGGUACAACACCAAUCUCUAUACCACCGUAUCGAAUGUCGCCCACUGAGUUAAAAGAGUUGAAAGUGCAAUUACAGGACUUGCUAGAUCGUGGAUUUAUUAGACCGAGCAUUUCACCUUGGGGAGCUCCGGUAUUGUUUGUUAAAAAGAAAGAUGGAUCGAUUCGGCUUUGUAUUGAUUACCGGCAGUUAAACAAAGUGACGAUCAAGAACCGGUAUUCGUUACCCCGUAUAGAUGAUUUAUUUGAUCAACUAAAAGGAGCUUCAGUAUUUUCGAAGAUUGACUUGAGAUCUGGGUAUUAUCAGCUGAAAGUAAAAGAAAGUGAUGUUUCGAAGACUGCAUUUCAUACUCGAUAUGGUCAUUAUGAAUUUUUGGUAAUGCCGUUCGGGUUGACUAAUGCUCCAGCUGCUUUUAUGGAUUUGAUGAAUCGUAUUUUUCAGCCAUAUUUAGACCAGUUUGUGGUGGUUUUUAUUGAUGAUAUAUUGGUUUAUUCAAAUUCGGAGUCAGAGCAUGAUCAGCAUCUCAAAACCGUGUUACAGAUUCUGCGGGAAAAAUAGUUGUACGAGAAACUGAGUAAAUGUGAAUUCUGGUUAUCAGAGGUAGUAUUCUUGGGACAUGUUGUAUCUGCGGAUGGGAUUAGAGUUGAUCUGAAGAAGAUUGAGGCAAUUGUUCAAUGGAAGGCACCAAAGAAUGUAUCAGAGGUACGCAGUUUUCUUGGUUUGGCUGGGUAUUACAGAAAAUUUGUAAAUGGGUUUUCGAAGAUAGCUUUGUCGAUGACCAAGUUACUACAGAAGAAUGUUCCAUUUAUCUGAGAUGAUCAAUGCCAGAGAAGUUUUGAAACAUUGAAACAAAUGUUGACAGAGGCACCAGUCCUAACUUUACCAGAAUUAGGGAAAGAUUUCAUAGUGUACAGUGAUGCUUCUUUGAAUGGUUUGGGUUGUGUAUUGAUGCAGAAUGGAAAAAUAAUAGCUUAUGCAUCUCGACAGUUGAAACCACAUGAACGUAACUACCCGACACACGAUUUGGAGUUAGCUGCUGUAGUAUUUGCAUUGAAGAUUUGGAUACAUUACUUGUAUGGUGAGAAAUGUUAUAUUUACACUGAUCAUAAAAGUCUCAAAUAUCUUCUGUCACAAAAGGAGUUGAAUCUGAGACAGAGACGAUGGAUAGAACUUCUGAAAGAUUAUGAUUGUGUUAUAGAUUAUCAUCUAGGAAAGGCAAAUGUGGUAGCAGAUGCAUUGAGCAGAAAGGCAGCGGCUGAAUUACGGACAAUGUUUGCUCGGCUUAGUAUUAAUGAUGAUGGAAGUUUGUUAGCUGAGUUAAGAGUUAAGCCGGUAAUGUUUGAUCGAAUCAGAGCAGCACAACUAGAAGAUGAGAAGUUGAUGAAGAAAAGAGAAAUGGUACAGCAUGGUACGGUAGAAAAUUUUAGUAUUGACGAGCAUGAUUGUUUGAGAUUUCGGAAUCGAAUUUGUAUUCCAGCUACUUCUGAGAUUAAAGAGCUGAUUCUUCGAGAAGCACAUGAUAGUAUUUUUGCUUUGCACCCAGGUGGAACGAAGAUGUAUCGCGAUCUACGAGAACUGUAUUGGUGGCCAAGAAUGAAGAACGAUAUAGUUGAGUAUGUCAGUAAAUGCUUGACUUGUCAGCGGGUAAAAGCAGAACAUCAGGAACCAACAGGUCUGUUACAGCCUAUUACUAUUCCCGAGUGGAAAUGGGAUCGCAUUACCAUGGAUUUUGUUAUGGGGUUGCCAUUGUCAGUGAGUAAAAAGAAUACCAUUUGGGUGAUUGUUGAUCGACUCACAAAGUCAACUCAUUUUAUAGUAGUUAGAACCGACUGGUCAUUACAGAAGCUUGCCGAGGUUUAUAUUCGAGAAAUUGUUAGAUUACAUGGUAUUCCGGUAUCAAUAAUUUCAGACAGAAAUCCUCAAUUCACUUCGAGAUUUUGGAAGCAGCUGCAUGAAUCAUUGGGUACUCGACUUAGUUUCAGUACAGCUUUUCAUCCUCAAACUGAUGGACAAUCUGAACGGGUAAUUCAGAUAUUAGAAGAUAUGCUUCGAGCUUGUGUCAUUGAUUUUGAAUCAGGUUGGGAACGUUAUUUACCAUUGGCCGAGUUUGUUUAUAAUAAUAGUUUCCAAUCUAGUAUUCAAAUGGCUCCGUAUGAAGCACUUUAUGGUCGAAGGUGUCGGUCACCAGUAUGUUGGACAGAAUUAAAAGAAAGAAAAGUGAUUGGGCUGGAAUUAAUUCAAGAGACAGAAGAAACAGUUAAGAAGAUUAAAGAUAGACUGAAAGCCGCUUUUGACAGACAGAAAUCUUACGCAGACUUGAAACGACGAGACAUUGAAUAUUCCAUUAGUGAUAAGGUAUUCCUCAAAGUAUCGCCGUGGAAGAAAAUUUUGAGAUUUGGUCGGAAGGGAAAAUUAAGUCCGCGCUUUAUUGGGCCGUAUGAGAUUGUGGAAAGAAUUGGGCCUGUUGCUUAUCGAUUAGCCUUACCUCCAAAGUUACAGAAAAUUCAUGAUGUUUUUCAUGUUUUGAUGCUUCGGAGAUUUAGAUCGGAUUCUUCUCAUAUCAUUCCCACUGAAGACAUUGAAAUUCGAUCUGAUUUAACUUAUGAAGAAGAACCAAUUCAGAUAUUAGCACGAGAAGUGAAAGAAUUAAGAAAUAAACGGGUUCCUUUAGUAAAAAUUUUAUGGAGAAGUCAUAGUGUGGAAGAAGCGACUUGGGAACCGGAAGAGACAAUGAGAGCACAAUAUCCUCAUCUCUUCUCAGGUAAAUUUCGAGGACGAAAUUUAUUAAGGGGGAGAAAUGUAAUGACCCAAAAUUCACGGGCAUCGGAAAAGUAUAAUAUCGGGCCUCCGUCUUGAGUUUAAAAAUAAUUAUUAGAAAUAUUUAUGAGACUAGUUGUGUGUUUAAUUAGGUUUUAGAUAGGUGAAUUUGGCUCAAUUAAGAGUAAUUAGCAAAAGGGAUUAAAUUACAAUAGAAGUGAAAAUCUAAUCAUAGAUUAAAAGAAAGUAAAAAGGGCUAAAAUGGCAAUUAAGCCAUUUAAAAUGAUUGAGGCGGCAUAAAGGAAUAAAAUUUAAGAUUUUAUUUAUUUAAUUAUAUAAUUAAUGAUAUUUAUUAUUUAUUAUUAGUUAUUAGUUAUUAUUAAAUUAAAAGAUAUUUAGUAAUUAAAUAAUUAGUAUAAGAUUUUUGGGUAAUAAUAAAUUAUGAUUUUGUCAAGUGUGUGGUAAAAAUAAAAUACAAGUGUAUUAUAUUUAUUUAUUUACUUGAAAAUUAAGUAAAAGAUAAUUGUUAAUUAAAUAAUAAUAUUAUGAGAUUUUUAUUUGAUAAAUUAGUUAGAUUGAGACAAGUGUAUGUAAUGAUUUAAUGCAAGUGUACUAAUAAAAUACAUACAUUUGUAAUAUUUAUAAUUAAUUAAUAUAAUAUAAAGUAAAUGAAAUAAAAUGAAAUAAAAACAAAGCAAAAGAAAGGAAAGAAACAGAAUAGAAGAGACGAAACAGGGGAGAAACAGGGGAGAAAGAAGAAAAAGAAGAAAAUAGGGAAAAUAGGGUUUUUGAAGCUUGAAAUUUAAUUUGGUAAGUCAAAUUAGCCCUUUUCUCUUAAUUCUAAUGUUUUAAAAGCUUUAAAACAAAGUUUUGAUGGAAUUAAGUUGAUAUUUUGUAAGUUCAUAGGUUUUCAAGUAAUGUUUAUGUUGAACAAAAGAGAUGAAUUAAGAAUUAAAUUGAAUGAAUUUUAAGUUAGAAUUGAAAAAGGGAUUAAAUUGUAAAAGAAACUAUAAGUUUUAUGUUUUAGGGACUAAAUUGAGGGAAAUUCGAAAUUAGCAAAAUAUGCUGAAAUUUCGAUAGUUAAAUUUUAGUUUGGAUGAAAUUUGAAUAGAAAUAGAGUGUGAAUUGAAUUAGGAAAGCAAGUGAAUUUAGUUAGGAUUAAAUUGAGAAUUAGGAAGAAAUUGAAUAGAAAUUCAAUUAUUUAUUAUAAUUAGUGCUGUAAUUAAUAUUACAAAUUAUUAUUAUUUUCGUAGCUAACAAAGAACCCGAGGCAUCGGCGUCAAAAGGAAAGGAGAAAGUUAUCGAGGACUAAAACGGGAGAUUUACGGUUUGUAUUACUAUAAUUCAAAUUAUUUAUUUUUAAAUGUUUAAUUUUAAUUUAUGUGUUUAGUAAAUGAAAUGUGCGGUAAGUAUUAUUAUUAUUAUUAUUAUUAGUGGGAAUUAAACUGAAUAUUUGAUAUGAAUUAAUAUUUGAAUUGUUUGUUGAUUGAAAGUGGGAAGUGAAUUUAAAUCGAAUAGUGACUGAUAUUAAAUUGAAUGGAAAUGUAUUGAGUUGUGAAAAUGUGUGAAUUGCGGAUUAAUUAUUGAUUGAAAGGUGGAAAAAUGAUUGAAUUGAAAAUGUGAGAAAUUGUGAUUGAAUUGGGAUUAUAUGUGAUUUAAAUACCCUAUUAACUAGUCGGGCUGAGUCGGAUAUAGUUGGCAUGCCAUAGGAUUGGAAGAGUUCAGGGAUACUUCGACCUCGAGUCGAUGAGACACUGGGUGUCACUAUAUUUUUUCGGAUAGAUUCGAUGAGGUACUGGGUACCAACUUUCUUCAGCUUUGCCGAUGAGACACUGGGUGUCAACUAUUGCUUCGAACUAUCCGAUGAGGCACUGGGUGUCAUACUGGUGUGUUUGGUUGGAUCCGUGUAUCCGCCAAAGUCUGAUUUUUGUUAAUAGGGUAAUUAAUGAAAUGAUAAACCGAACGAGCUACUGAAAUGAAAUGAAAAAGUUGAAUUGUGAAUUGAAAUGUGAAAUGAGAUUGAGAAAUGAACCUAAAGUUCAUGAGAUGUUCAAAUUCAAAUUGUGGAUAUGUGAUAUUGAUUGAUGGAUUGCUAUUGUUGAGAUAUUGAAUUUAAAUUGUAUAUACGAUUUAUGCAUUACAUGUACAUUAUUGUUAUAAUUUGAAUUAUGGUAAUACCACUGAGUAUGAAUUACUUAGCGUACGGUUGUUUCCGUGCGCAGGUCGAUAGAAGUCAAAGGUCUCGGUUCAGCAUCCAGAUUAAUCCCGGCUUCAGCAUAACUUUGGUGAUGUAUAUUUUCUUUUGGUAAUGUGGCAUGUACAUAGGAAUUAUAAGUUUUAUAUAAAUGGUUAAAAAUGUUAGUAUUAUAAGUUUAUGAAUUAUAAUGAAAGAAGUUUAUCUAUUUUAAUCUAAUUAGUCAAUGGAUAAAUUUAAAUUGAUAUUAUGUUAAUUGAGUUUGAUUAGAAGUAUUUAGAAUAGAAAAUGUGAAUGUGAAAUGAAUUGGUUGAUUUGGUUAUAUUUGAAAAUGUUAUGGAUUUUAAUUGUAGGGGGUUGUAUGUAAAAAUAAGCAGAAGUGCUGCCGAAAUUUUUCGAAAAAAAAUGAAUGAAGUCUAUUAGCGAAAUUUAUAUGAAUUUAUUACUCUCUUAUAUAUGUUCGUUAAUUGUUUAUGAAUUAUUUGGAAUUUGUCUGAAAUGUCCGGUAAUGCCUCGUAACCCUAUUCUGGCAACAGUUCGGGGUUAGGGGGUGUUACAACAUCAUCCUAAUACCCAACGACUGAUAGUGUUGUUCCAUUUCCCACAAGAAGUUGUCCACUUCUCUAGUGGACCUUCCCCCUCAAACUUCUCUGGUUUGGGAACAUCCAUCUUCCGUUGAUUUGGUCUCGAAGCCAACAUCUUAUUGCUCAAAUUAGCCUUAUAGAUUGUGAGCUCCCCCUUAAGCUCCUCAAUUUUUUCUUUCAAGGUCAUCAUUGUGGCCUCAAGAGCAUCAUCCGUCACGGUCAACUUAUCCACAAUGGAACUAAGCAUCCAUUGCAUCACUUCCACAUUAGAACCGAGAGACUCCAAGAUAAAUUCCUUGAAUUUCUCCUUCAUCGAGUUUAACUCAUUGGUGCGUCGCUCAACUACCUUGAGUGUCUCCCCCAUAUCUCCAAUAGGCUCCUCAAGAUUGGUCACUUGAAUUGCCAAAGCCGACAGCAUUUCCCUCGAUCAAUUAGCUUUGCUAGAGCUCCCGUGGGUCUCCAUAGGCUUAAUUUGAUCUUCUACUCCUUUUGUCAUCUCAAGUGGCACUUUCAAAACCUUAGCUCUAAUACCAACUAUCACAGGGGUAGAACUUUAGUCUCACAAUCCGUGCGACCUUAGGCAAAUUCUUAGGUUCAAAUCCGCCUAAGUUAGUCUAACUCUUGCAAAGUGAAAAAUCUUGAUAGAAAUUCUCUAAGGUGCAAAAAAUAAAGUGAAAGUAAAUCAAAACAAAAGAACAAAAAAUGCCACAAGAAAGCAAAGUACAUCAAGUGUUUGAGUAAAUGUUCUCAAAGUAUUCUAUUACUCUGGAAAUAAUACAAAAAAUAGGAUAGGAUACAAUGGAAUAUUACAAAUGAGGGAGAAUGCCUCUAUUUAUACUUGAGCUCCCCAAGCCAACGAUAUAGAUUGAGUUACAUUAAUGAUUGAGAUUAAAUCCUAUCUACAAUUGAGAUUCUUAAAGGAUUGACUUAAUCUUUUAAGAUUAUAAAAUCAAGUCUUAUCAUGUUACAUAUCUUCUAAGAUUGGUUUCCUUAUUUGCCAAUAUAGCCCUAAUUUUCCAUAAAUGCUUCACUGGACUAUCAAUGCUUCAAGUAGACAGGCUUCUCCAUAUGCUCCACAAAUCGGGCCAGUUCAAAUGCGUCGAAUGAGCCAUGUUUCAUCAUUUGACCUCCAUGGGACAAUCCUUGGCAUUCAUCACGGGCUCUGAUCCGUGACCCAUGACAUAAGCACAUAAAUGUUUAGUAAGUUUAAUUGACAAGUAUUAUACUUAUCUUGCUAGGUGGACCUACAAAUUCAUUGCUCAACAAGCUUCAUAUUCUCGUAUUAGUUACUUAGCAUAAGAUAAGGAAAAUGUGUAGGUAACCAUGUUCAUUAAGUCUAUACAAGCAAAUUAUAACAUGUCCAAUAAGUGUUCAUUAUAUUCUAUUGAUCACAUGUGCACCUAUUUCCACUUUAUUACUACCUUUCAAUUCCAAUUUACGAGUUAAGAUAAUCAAGUUCAUACCUUUUUCAACCUUAAUUCUUUUCUUUAACCAUUUCUUGUCCAAUUUCAAUUUUGUAGCCCAUGUAAUCUUAGUAAAAUAGGACUCGGCUACUAUGAGAAAACCAAAAAUGCUAAGCCCAAAGGCCAUCACAUAUCAUAUCAUGUAGGCCUCCGAAGAGGUAUUGAAAGUCUAAUGGUCUAUAACAAAUGUUCUACCAAGGGUAAGCUAGAACUGGGUUUUCAGAAAACAAACCACAUACCUCUGAACCUCACACCACAACAAAUGUACUUAAGUGUAAGGCACAAAGGCAACAUAUAACAAAUAGGUUCAAAGGCGACAUACACAUAUAACUCUAAUUGACAUGUCAAUCGUAUCCUAACCUUUCUACCAAGUUUACAUAAGCUAUCAUUAACAUACUAAAGAAUUCACAUUUAAGUACCAUUAAGGCAAUUUUUCAUAUGUAUCGUCAUAUUUCCAUAAUGCCACACUUUAAUCACAAGAGUUAAGAUCUUCAAUUGAGGUUUUCAUACCACAUGAAUUUACGUGUUUGUUUAUUCACGUUAACAUGGUUACGUAUAUCAUAAUCAUACUAAAUCUUAACUUGACAUAGUCAAUUACCAUAUUUAACACGUUCUUUCAUAUUUAAUUCUUUGCAUAACAUAGUUCAGUAUAUAAACAUAUUAACUAGUAUAUUCCAUUAAGGUUCUGUUAAUAUACUCAUUAAUUAAUCGUCCAUUCAUGAUCUUAACAUGUUAUAUUCAUUAUGCAUCAAAUUAAAUGUUGUUGAGCUAUUUAACACCUAUAAACAUUGUACUAAAGACACAUAAUAAGCAAAUAUUGUAAGUUCAAGUGAACUUACCUAUUAAGAUCAUUUAAUGAUCAUCAAUUUAAAUUUUCAUUUCCUUAACUUAAGAUUCUACUCAAAAUACACACAACACAUACAAGCAUUGAAUUAAUAAUUUGAAUCUCCUUUGGUUAGUCUUACAAGCAUUGGAUUAAUUGAAUUCAACACUUGAUAGCCAUAUAGUGGCCAUUUUACUUGUUGAAAAUUCAAGAAUGCUUAACCUUUGAGCCUUAGACUUUUAUAUCCAAAAUUGAUAUAACUCGUAAUUUUCCUAUUCAAUUUUUGUUCCAACUUUAAAGUUAUAAUUUCAAGACCUCAAAUGAUCCAAAAACAUGUUUAAACUCCAAAGUUCUCAUAAUUAUCUCUAAGGCUUCUUAAGUACUCAACAAUGGUGGUAUGAACAUCCUUUAACCAAUUUUUAAUCCACCUUCUUUUCUAACUUACACUCUUCUAAGUUCAUCCCAACAUAAGCAUUGAACUAUCAUGAUCAAGCUUCAUCUCUUUCAGUUCCAAGCAUUCAUCUAUGAUUAUCUAAGGAUUUUUCUCAUCAAUUUUAACAUCGAAAAUGAAUGGGCUCAUGCUUAUCUAUUAUUUUAUGCUAUCAAUUAAACCAAAAUUCAAAGGAAACUUAUCAAUUUCUUGAAGAGCAACUCACGGCACCAUGAAACCUCCAUGAAAAUUUUCUUUUUCUUCUUUGUUCUUAAACCAUGGAGAAUGGAUGAGGAUGACCACAUAAUAAGCUUAUUCUCCCACCCACUAAGUAUAUAUAUACCUAAUUAAUCAAUUUAUUAACCUUUAAUAAUAAUCAUCCAAUGUUGGGAUUUAAGCAUGGCAAAUUGAGCGGAAAUGUAUGGCUUUUACCAUGCUUCUCCACUAAGUAAAUAAAUGAUGGUUUAUUUGUCAUUUUAAGGCAUUUGAUUAAUUUUUCAUCCAAUCCUCCAAACCUUGCUAGUGCAUAUUUAGAUCUUAUGCAUCAAUUACUAAUUUAUCAAUUUAAUCCCUUUAAUAAUUCUCGACAAUAUUUCAUAUCUACUUCAUUAACUUCUCGAUUAAUAAUAAAUUUUUGAAACGGCUUGAUCGAGAAAUCGAAUUAUUCCUAUCACAGCGAAAAAUAGAUCAUCAAACUAUUUUAAUUUGAUUUAUUAAUGUCUUUUCCAAAUUCGUAUUUAAUUAAUAAAUAUUCCACAAUAACCUUCAUUAAUUGAUAAUUUUUCCUUGUAUUAUAGGAGAUUUAUAAAUAUUCAUAUUGUAGCAUAAGUAAACUCAAUUUAAAGUGCACAAGGAAAUAGUCAAAUAUCUCAAACUUCAAGAGCCUUUAAUUAAGCCACAAUGUGUUCGCACACUCUAUUAACACUAGUGAAUUUCAUUAAUUAUAAUUUGAUCAUUAGAGUACUAGCUAAAAUUUUAUCCCAAGAUUCAAAUUGUCUUUCAAUAAAUCCUCGACAAUUUUGUGGUCUCUAACUCAAAAUUUUUUUACUUUUGUGAUAUUCGUAAAGAACAACUUCAGCAAGUAAUUCAUCUUUAUGAAUAGUCAUCACUAAUUAAAUCAUGCAUAUUAAAUUUGAUAUCAGAAAAGCUUACAAGUCGCAUCAUAAAUACAUAAUUGUGAUAUAUUUGAAUGGUUUUCCACCUCAGCAUAGGCUUAUUUUAGAGUAAAUUUGUAUGCAUUUUAGGGAAAAAUACCAAAAAAACCAAUUUUUUUUUAAAUUUACCGAAAUGGGCUCAGUAUUUUAUUAUUUACCGGAAUGGGCAUUUUCCCCGAAACCGCGUCCACGUCAGCACGAUGUCAAGGUACGUGCCAGGAAAUCGCGGCCACGUCAGCGCGCUUUGCUGACAUGGCAACAAAUCGCGUCCUCUAAAGCGCGAUUUGUGUCCACGUCAGCAAAACGCUCUGACGUGGACGCGAUUUCCUGGCACGUACCCUGACAUCGUGCUGAUGUGGAUGCAAUUUCGCCGUGUCUCCCACGUUAGGGUUUUUAGGGGUUUUAGGGCUUUUGGAGAAAAAAGUAAACAAAUAAGGGAUUAGGGUUAAGGGUUUCGUAAUUAAAUUAAUUAAAUUUUAUUCAAAAUUGGAUUACGUUUCGUGUUUAUGGGUUUUUAAGAUAAAAUCAAAGCAGGAUGAUUUAUCAGAAGGAUUUUUGAAGUCGCACCCACGUGUACGCGCUUUUGCUACAGUAGGUCUUGGGAAAAUAAUUUCGACUUGAUGUUUUUGAGCAAAUAGUUUAAAAAACAUUUCAAGCAGAAUGCUUUGUGAGAAGAAUUUGUGAAAUCGCGCCGUCGUGGACGCGCUUUUACUACAGUUGGUCCUAAAAGAAAUAAUUUCGAGUUGAUGUUUUUGAGCAAAUAGUUUAAAAAACGCUUCAAACAGGAUGCUUUAUAAUAAGAAUUUGUGAAGUCGUGCCCACGUGGAUGCGCUUUUGCUACAGUAGGUCCUAAAAAAAUAAUUUUGAGUUAACGUUUCUGAGCAAAUAAUAUAAAACAACGCUGCAAGUAGCAUGCUAUUUGAGAAGAAUUUGUGAAAUUGUGCCCUCGUGAACGUGCUUUUGCUACAGUUGGUCCUGGAAAAAUAAUUUUGACUUGACGUUUCUGAGCAAAUAGUAUAAAAUCGAUUCUAGAAGGAUGCUUUAUGAGAAGAAUUUGUGAAAUCACGCCCACGUGGACGCGCUUUUGCUACAGUAACAUGUUUGGGCUGAGGCUAUAAAUGAGGCAAAAAAUGUUCUGAGAUUGCAUAAGUCACAGCAAAAACAAUUUAGAGAGGCUAAGAAGGUUAGAGUUUCAAAUAUGAGUGAACGUAUUAGUGCUGUUAUUUACUACAGUGGUGAGGUUUGCCACACUGAGAAUGGUGUUGUUUUUUUGUCGAAGAAUACGGUGCGACUGGUUUUUAACCAAAACAUAGAUUUGACAGAACUUCGUAAAAGAAUUAGGCGUAAAAUUUUCGAAACGACGCCAAUGAAAGUUCUGUCUAUUACAUAUCGAUUUUGUUCCUCUGUUGAUCCGGUGACAUAUGACUCGUUCGACAUAAAAGGUGAUCGUAGCUUGGAGGCAAUUGUGCAGACUCAUCUUGCUAGUCGAGCACAUUAUAUUGAGUUAUAUGUACAAUUUACAUUGCCAAAUGAUGUACUUGCGACCAGUGUUCGAGAUGUAUACACGACCCCUGGCCAACAUUCGGUUAGCGGGUUAGAAAACACGAAACAGCCCAUGUUUGGUAGUGGUGUUGAAUGCACAUCCCCCGCAGGACCUCUGUCGGUGGAUGGGACAUGUACGUCGGUGGUUCGAUGUUUGAUGCUGGAAAUACGUACUGGGGAACGUCAUCAAGUUCUAGUGAUUAACAAUCUACAUCCAAUUGGGGACGUUAUGAAAUGCCCAGAAAAAAGGAUGAUGUACUCCCUACGACGUCAAUUGGUGAGGGGACCUCAUACGCUGCAGAUGAUUAUGGGUUAGAAGAUGACUCCGAUGUGGAUCUACCUCGAGAGCUCGGGCCUGAUGGUGUAGAAGUUGGCUUAUUUUCUGAACCGGAGUCUAUUCCAACAAAACUUGAAGAUGCUGAAAGGAGUUCAGAUGAAGAAGAAAAUCCACGAUUCAGAGCAUACUCACCUUCAGCCCACAUGCAUAAUGUCGAUCUGUCUGCAGAUGAUACAUUAGAGUUUCCAGAUCUACCACACUGGUUGCGUGAUCGUACCAGUUCAGGGCUAGAUUCAGGUGAAUUUUAAGUUGGUAAUCAGUUUACCAACAAGGAUAGUUUUAUUGGUGUUUUGAAACAACAUAGCAUCAAAAAAUGCGUUAACUACCACGUCGUUAAAUCCAAAUCUGAUAAGUUUGAAGCGAAAUGUACGGUGCAAUAUGGCACAUGUUCAUGGAAAAUCUACGCUUCGUUAAGGAAAAAGACAGGGUUGUGGGAGAUUAAAAAGUACAAAGGUCCACAUACAUGUGCUGCAGGUACAAUAUUGACGGUAUCUGAAUAAUACUUUUAUUAUGUAAUGUUGCAUUAUUUAAUGUAAUCCGUUUAUAGGUGUUUCACAAAAUCAUCCGAAGAUGGAUUCAGCUAUGUUAGCUAGCUUGAUACUGCCCACGGUAAAAGCAGAUUCCAGGAUUUUAGUACCGGUGUUAAUUGCCAAUAUUCGUAGCCAAAUGGGGUACACGCCCUCUUACCGUAAGGCUUGGAUAGCUAAGAAAAAGGCGUUGAAGAAGAUGCAUAGUUGGUGAGACGCCUCAUAUACUGAAAUAUGACAGUGGUGUCAAGUGCUAGAGAGAUACGUCCAAGGUGCCUCACAGACCUUGAAACGGAACAUGCGUACUACAACGGCCAAUUGCUACGUGGAUGCCAAGUGUUCAAACGUCUGUUUUGGACCUUUAAGUAAUGCCAAGACGCAUUUCCAAGCUGCAAGACAUUGGUACAAAUUGACAGUACCUUUAUGUUUGGUAGGUAUACUCAUCGGCUAUUGCUUGCAGUGGUACAGGAUAGCGGUGGGAGAAUUCUUCCAAUUGCAUUUGCAAUAACACCGGGGGAGUCGUCUGAUGACUAGGAUUUCUUUCUCUCUAGGUUAAGGAGGCAUGUGUGCCUCCAACCUGAUAUCUGUGUUAUUUCAGAUCGGGGCACCGGUAUACUAGUUGCAUUUGAUCGACAGGGAAGCUUAUGGCAGUGCACACACCAUCGAUAUUGCGUAAGACACGUUGCUUCCAACUACUACAGGCAAUACCCAUCUAAGAGCGAACGACGACAAGUGACCAACAUGGGUAUUUAGUCUAUAUCUGUGUUAUUUCGUUUCUCAAUUUGAAUUAGUUUUAUUAGUAGAAGUUGUAUGUAAUAUUCGCUAUGAACUUAUAUUGGCAGGGUAUGAAAUAAAUAAAUAUCGUUUCCACGAGAUGUUGGCAACUUUACGUUCAAUUAACGGAGAAGGGGCAGACUACCUUUGUAACAUACGUUUCGAACAGUAGGCACAAGCAUACGACGGCGGCCUACGAUAUGGCCAUAUGACGUCAAACCUGGCUGAAUGCAUAAAUUCUAUUCUUAAAGGAACAUAUUUUCGUUCAGCGACGCUAUUUCCAAAGCGAGCAGCAAGUUAUGCAGGCCAGAUGCAGGGAGGACAUGUAUGGUGCAGUAAGGUAGUUUAAGAAAUUAACAAGGCCAAGGCGCAGGCAAACACCAUGCACACAGUGUGUCACGAUCGAGACAACUUAUGGUUUCACGUGACAGAGUUUGACAGACCGCACCAAGGUGUUGUUGGCGGACAAUAUCGUGUACACUUGCGAAAUAGGACUUACAACUGUGGGAUGUUUGAUGCACUUCGUUAUCCAUGCGCUCAUGUUAUUGCAGCUUGUCAGAAUCUCCGUCUAGAUCCGAUAAAUUGUGUGGACGAAGUGUACAAAUUAGAAAACAUGUACAACGUCUGGAGACUCGUUUUUCCACUGGUCCCAGAUGAACGUAAGUGGCCCCCCGUAUCUCUUUCUCAUUUUAAGCUGUUACCGGAUAGAGAAUUACGUCGUAAACCAGAGGGUCGACCUUGCUCGACUAGAAUACAUAACAAUAUGGAUAUCCGAGAAACAGUCAAUCAACAUAAGUUGUGCAGAUGGUGUAGGAAUCCAGGCCAUACAAGUCGAUCAUGCCCUAAUCGCAAUAGUUGAAUGUAAUUUUUUUAAAAAAAAUUAUAUUUUUUCAAUUAUUAACUGAUAAUUGUAUUAAUUGUUAGUAAAAUUAUCAAAUUAUAUCAAAUAAUUAAUUGUUAGUAUCAGUCAAAACAUUUUUUCAAAUCUAACAUUAUGUGAAUAUAAAAUUAUUAACUGAUAAUUGUAUUAAUAUUAGUAAAAUUAUCAAAUUAUAUUUAAGUUAAGGGUUAGGGUUUUUAAGUUAAGGGUUAAGGGUUAAGGAUUUUAAAGUUAAGGGUCUAGGGUUUUAAAGUUAAGGGUUUAGGGUUUUUAGGUUAAGGGUUAGGGUUUUUAGGUUUAGGGUUUAUGGUUUUUAAUUUAAGGGUUAUGGUUUUUAAGUUAAAGGUCUAGGGUUUUAAAGUUAAGGGUCUAUGGUUUUAAAGUUAAGGGUUAGGGUUUUUAGGUUAAGGGUUUAGGGUUUUUAAGUUAAGGGUUAGGGUUUUUAAGUUAAGGGUUUAUGGUUUUAAAGUUAAGGGUCUAUGGUUUUAAAGUUAAGGUUUAAGGUUUUUAGGUUAAGGGUUAUGGUUUUUAGGUUAAGGUUUAGGGUUUUUAAUUUAAGGGUUAGGGUUUUUAAGUUAAAGUUUAGGGUUUUCAGGUUAAGGGUUAGGGUUUUUAGGUUAAGGUUUAGGGUUUAGGGUUUUUAAUUUAAUGAUUAUGAUUUUUAAGUUAAGCGUUUAGGGUUUUUAAGUUAAGGGUCUAAGGUUUUAAAGUUAAGGUUUAGGGUUUUCAGGUUAAGGGUUAGGGUUUUUAGGUUAAAUGUUUAGGGUUUUAAUUUAAGGGUUAAGGUUUUUAAGUUAAGGGUUUAGGGUUUUUAAGUUAAGGGUCUAUGGUUUUAAAGUUAAGGUUUAUGGUUUUUAGGUUAAGGGUUAGGGUUUUUAGGUUAAGGGUUUAAGGUUUUUAAGUUAAGGGUUUAGGGUUUAAAAGUUAAGGUUUAGGGUUUUUGGGUUAAGAGUUAGGGUUUUAGGUUAAGGGUUUAGGGUUUUUAAUUUAAGGGUUAGGGUUUUUAAGUUAAGGGUUUAUGGUUUCUAAGUUAAGGGUCUAUGGUUUAAAAGUUAAAGUUUAGGGUUUUUAGGUUAAGGGUUAGGGUUUUAUGUUAAAGAUUUAGGGUUUUAAAUUUAAGGAUUAGUGUUUUUAAGUUAAGGGUUUAGGGUUUUAAGUUAAGGGUCUAAGGUUUUAAACUUAAGGGUUAUGGUUUUUAGGUUUAGGGGUUAUGGUUUUUAAUUUAAGGGUUUAUGGUUUUUAAUUUAAGGGUUUAGGGUUUUUAAUUUAAAAGUUUAGGGUUUUUUAAGUUAAGGGUUUAAGGUUUUAAGGUUAAGGGUUAAGGUUUUUAGGUUAAGGGGUUAGGGUUUUAAAGUUAAUGGUUAGGGUUUUUAGGUUAAUGGUUUAGGGUUUUAAAGUUAAAGGUUAAUGAGUUAGGGUUUUUUGGUUAAGGGUUUAAGGUUUGUUAAUUAAAUUAUGCAUUUAAUUAUAAAUUAUAAAUUUAUAAAUUUUUAAUAAGUUAAGCGUUUAGGGUUUUUAAGUAGUAACUCAAAAAAAUUUCUAUUUUUAUUACAUCAAAAAAUAUCAAAAUAUUCAAAAUAUUUGUACAAAUAAAUUUAAAUACAAAAAUCAAUGUCUAUGCCCGCGGGAUUCAGUGCCACAUGGCAGCCGUCGACAGUUACGCGCUGGAUUCCUCCUUGUCCAGCUUUUGGCGGCGAUUAUAGUUCUUCCGGCGGCGGUUGUGGUUCUUCCGGCGGGGAUUCUGGUUCUUCCAGUAGGGCAUCUGGUUGUCGGAGUUGUGACGAUGAGCCACCUUGAUAGAAUUGUGAAUGUGGAGGUGUUUGCAUCACCAACGGCAACGGUGUUUGAAACCCAUACGGUGGUGGGGAUUGGUAAAAAGAAGAGCUCCCCGACGGCCCCUCUUGCGAUCCCUCGUGCGUCGCUGGCCUAUACAUCGGCGGUCGACUCGGCGUAACAGAAAUAGAGCUGAACCGGGCCAUUGGCUCCAACCUGCCAUAGGACUCGAAAAAGGAAACAUAUAAGGGUUAGGAUACAUAAAAGGGCUAGGAAACGCACCUGGCAUCAUCUGAAAAGGCGGUUGCGUGGGUAUCAUUGGUUGAACUGCUGGGUCGGGUGAAUGUCUGGGAGUCGUUGAAGGGCCAGCGUCGUCGUCCUGUCGUCUUGGAUUUAAAGGAUCGCGUCUUUCCCUUUGGACACGUAAUUGCCGCUGCCUCUCCUCUAGCGAUAGUAAAUACGGCUUGCCAUGGAUCCUAAACCAUGGCAUGCAUUCCGGCAUGCACGCUAACUCCGGAACGAUGAUCGGUUCCAUACUAGGUAUAUAGUCAUACCGAUCUUCCCACAUUUGGAUGUACUUGAACCAGAAUCUCGGCCAAUCCGUAUUCAAUUACCGAAGGUCGAUUUUGUGGUGAUCGUCAAACAUCUCAAGUUCCAUGGAAAUCGGUUGUCUACAUCCAAAUUGCCAUAACACCCUGUCUGACUGGUGCAUCUCCACGGUCGCGUAGUUGAUCAACGCGACUUUCGCCUGCCAAGCGUUUGGAUUUUGUAAGAACUCUUUCGGAAUUACUGCCCAAAUUGCCGGAUCCUCAUAUGGUGUCCAUUGAAACUAUAUGAAAAUGAUAGAAAUAUUAAUUAUAUACAUAAUACUAAAUACUAAAUACCAAUCGACUAGCGAAUGAUGGAAAUAUCAAUUUUAUUUAAUACUUACAUGUGCUUCCGACUAUUGGUCUAAUAGAAGCCGUAUAUCUUCAAGAGAGGUAGGUAAUCGAGCAUGACUUGCCGGAUGGUUCCACCUAAUUAAAUAAAUUUUUAGCAUACUUUUAUUUUUAAAAAUCUACAUAAUAAUUGUAAAAUCUAAUAUAAAAUUUACCUCGUUAUCAGUGGGAAUGUAUAUGGGUGGUCCACUCGAGGAUGUAGAAAUGAAAAGCGAAACCGUGCCCAUGAUUGCAGUAGGGACAGGCAACCUCCGAUUUUUGCUUUCCUCGGUCGCAUCGCCCCGUACAUCUCCUUAUAUAACGUUGUCAAGACGGCAGACCCCCAACUUAAUUCACCAGCUGCUCUAAAAUCAACGAGUUGCAGCAGCCAUCUUAGAUGUACGCGGCUCCGUGACAAGUCAGGCAUCAGAUAACCUCCAAUUAACUGAAGAAUGCAUGCCCGAGCAUAUCGGAUUCUUUCUAUUUCGGUUGAAUCUUCAUCCGGAUCCGGGAAUGUGUCUCGAAACCAGCCCAUCUCGAUCUUACCUCCCUCCAUUUUCUCCAGAAUAGCGCCCAAAAGCUCGUAGCACACCGCAAGCCAAUCGCUAGAUUGGGUAGACCCGGUGACUGGGUACCCGUCCACCGGCAAUCCCAAUUGUAGACUGACAUCUUCCAAAGUGAUAGUGCACUCUCUACAUCUUAAAUAAUAUUUAAAAAUUAAAUUUAACGCUUACCAUUUUCAUUUGUUCCACCGAUAUGUGAUGCUUAUCAAGACGAGUCAAUUCUUCGGCCAUUGCUGAAAUCGUACAAAUUUUUAAUGUUUAAAAAAAUUUUAAAAAAGUAAAAUUAUUUAAAAAAAGAGAUUUAAAAGAAAUUUAAGAGGAACUUGGGAGUAAAUUGAAAAUAAAUAUGAAUUUGAGAGAAAUUUUAAAGGAAUUUGAAAGCAAAAGAGUGGGGGUAUUUAUAGUUUUUUUUUUACCGUUCGGGGGGGCAAUGGUCAAUUUUUUGACCGUUGCACUGUUCACGUACGGGGCAAAUCGCAACCACGUCAGCGCGAUUUGCUGACGUGGACACAAAUCGCAUCCUCUGAAGCAGAAUUUGUUGCCACGUCAACGCGCUAUUUGCUGGCACAUACCCUGACAUCGCGCUGACGUGGACGCAAUUUCGAGAAAAAAUGGCCAUUUCGGUAAAUAAUAAAAUACCGGGCCCAUUUCGAUAAAUUUAAAAAAAAAUAGACUUUUUUUAGUAAAUUGCCCUACGUUUUAGUCUUGUUACAAUAUCCAAGUCUAAUGCCAAUAUUGAAGUAUACCGUAAUAGUAAUUAUUCUCUCUAUCUAGUACUCGAAACUGGUUUUAAAUAUCUUCCAUUCACUCGACAAAUAGUUAUGGUCUAAAUAAAUUUCUGGAAUUCAUGGCUGCCUACUUGCGAGAGGAUUAAUGAAAUAUGCGAUGCAAGUUGAUGAAAUCUUAUUAUUUGUAAUAUAAAAAACAAAACCCAUGCAUCCUUAAUAACAUAAAAAAAACACAUUCCAUAAUCAACAUCUGAGAAUUUAAAACUUAAUUGUAAUGUUGGCUGAACAAGACUCAAAAAGGGGAGAAAAGAAAAAUAAGUCCGAACCUGAAAAAAGUGACCGUAUAAAAAACCCUGACAGGCAGAACAGUAGCAAGCAACAUAAAACCAAGACAUAUUAUCACUUAAAGCACUUGGCAUCCAAGAGAGGCUCUCCCUCAAAUGGCUCGCAGUCUUCAAUCAUCUGAUUCACCCGUUCCUUCUGGGCUGCAUCUGACAGGUCAACCUUCUUCCACUCGUAGAGUUCCAUGUCAUAGCACUCGUCAAUCACAAAUUGAGGAAUCUCUUGCCCACGGAAAAGCCAUAGUCCUUUCACCUUGAAUGGAGGGUUAGCACCGAUCACCAACAUCUUCCCAAAUGCAUACUUGCGGGCCAAAUCCAUUCUCUGCAGGAAUCCUCCAACCUUGUUCAUUGUGACAAAUGAAACUGUAUUCUCCUCAUUGUACUUGUAGUCACAAAACCACAGUGAGUAUCCCUCGGGAUCAUACAUGUCCCAGAAUCCUGACACGAAUCAAGUAUCAGAUAUCACAAGCCCAAACAUUGCUUUUAAAAGGGAGUGCUACUGUGAAAACAACAGGGAUACCUUUAAUUGCAACCUCUCGGAAAUUGGUCUUUGUGUUAGAGUAAAGCCUCUUCCAGUCAUCCAGUACCAUCUUACUUGGAGGCAGCAAAUCAAGAGGAUUCUUUGGUUUGGGCUUUGGUGCCUCCUCCUCAGCUGCCUCUGCCUUUGCUGCCUGUUUCUCAACCUCCUUUUUGGCUUCUUUCUUUGGUUCAGCCUUUGGUUUAGUUUCUUUUGGCUGGGCAGCAGGCUUCUUUGAAGGAACAGGUGGUAGAGAGACUGCCUGCUUCACUUCACCAAGAAUCUUCUUGAUUUUUGGUUGAUUAACCAAGGUCCAAAAGUACCUCUCAACAUGAGGGAACUCCGAGGUAAAACUCUUAGUCAUGAUCUGGGAGAAACCCAAGUAGAGGUUACAUGUCAUGAUAAUGUCAGCAAGGGUGACAAAAUGUCCAACAAGAAAUGUGUUGGAAGCAAGAUGAGUGUUCAAAGCGCCAAGGGCUCUCUUCAAUGCAGCAAUAGCAGCUUCCUCAGCCUACAUGCAAAAUACAUAUAAGAGAUUAAAAUGAAAUAGGUAGGCAAAAUCAUACCAUUGAAUUAAAAUGAACUACUACUGAAUUACAAAAAUAAAAUUUAACUCUUAAUAUAGAUUAAUAAAUACAUCAGAAUGGGGGAGAAAACAACCUAGUCUCUUAAAAAAAUAAUGAGGAGAAAACCCAUGCCUACUUGAUUAUCAAUGCAAUGGGCAUUCCCUUCAACCAAAAUUACUUAAUAGUGCUUGAGUUGAUUCCUUUCCAGAAACUAUGCAGGGGAAAACACUACCACAUUAAGCAUGUACUAAAUGUUGUCUAACUAAUCCUCUCUAAAAUAAAUAAAACAAGAAUCAUAGACAGGUAAUCAAUGCCAAUUUUCCCUUCACCAUUCCCUCCUUAAUAUAUUGUAUUUCGAUGACUAAGUUGCCUUAUUCAAAUUUUAACACGGGACCAAUUGUCUUAUAAUUAGAAAGAAACAAAGACUAAGUAUGGCCCCAGCAAAUCAAGCCCAAUUAAAAUGACAAAAGAAUCUGCGAGGAAAGACAGUAGAACUUACUGGAGGAAGGUAAACACCGUAACCAAGUCUUGGAUACAACCAUUUUGCAAUAUUAGCAUCAAUUUCCAUGGC